ensembl:lncRNA
AAACAUAAAAAAAAGCAAAAGAAAAUCUCUUUGCAGGUUGUGCAGGUCAUAUUUACAGUAGUCAUUACCUUUUGACUGUAGAUGGCGAACACCAGCAAGCCUAAUCCUUAUAGCACAGAUAAAGUAAUGCACUCAGUUUCAUUAUUAGGCUAAGUAAUUGCUCCUGUUACUGCUUCACAGGGGGUAGAGUACAAAGUACAAGCAGCCCAUAACAAUUCAGUGAAGGUCAGUGCACAGUGUAGUUAUUUUAUUCCUCACACUCAAACGCACCACUCUCACUCAUUUCAGUCAUAGAGUUUGGUUUGUUAAGCACAGACUGUAUAUAAAAGAUGGACGUAGCCGCUGAUUCUGAAAAGCGAAGCCAAGGUUCUGGUUGCUUAGAUGACCCAUCAGUGUAUUUAUCACCUCUUCACACGUCAGUCAUUGGUAUCCUUCGUUUCAGUCGCUUCAAUCACUCGUCUUGAAGUGUAGUUUGUUUUUGGACACGCCCACUUGUCUGUUGUUACUGCAAGUCUCUGAACAUGGUGCUUAUUGGUUAACAAGUUGCGAUCUUGCUUUUCUUUCAUUUCACAGUCGGGUCUACCCCCUCACUAUGAUGUCUCGUUACAGAAAGCUAAGAUGGCGACAGUGAAAAUAUCUGCUCAGGGGCUUUAUAACAUGACCUCACUAACCAACGGGUGACCUGACAGGAGUUAUGUCCAUCAUUUAUUUACAGUCUGUGGCAUAAAGUUGAAAGUUAACUCUUAGCUUCUCCAGCUCCAGUUAAGAACUUUUAUCAGAGUUCAUAAAGCUCUUUAGUGUUUUUUGUUUAUUUUUAUGUGUGGUUGUACUUCCUGUAUUUCUUGCCUUGUAAGUGGAGCAGGUUUAAAAAGCACCUGAGAUUUACAUGUCCUACUGAGUUAUAUGAUGGUGCUUUAUUAGGUGCCUCUGUGUCUCCCCCAUUAUACGAAAUGUGUCCUUCAGUGUUGGCGCUCUGAGGCUUAACCACAGCUCCAGUUGUCAUCGUCAUAAGGAGCUUGGAGGAGUGUUGGUGACUUUCCAGGAUUAACAGGUUUUCACUUUUGACUUUCACUUGCCUCAAUCUAUGCGUUUAUAAACUGCUUGGUUAUGGUUUCGGAAAAUUUUCGUGCUUUUUACCCAGAGCAUCACAACACAGAUGCCAGCAGGUUUGACAAUGCAGUCUUAACUGACGCCUCGGGAUCAGAGCGAGCGUCUCAUUAAUUCUCAUUUUGGAACAGAACUCUUUUUGCUUGUGACAGUUUGCAAAAUAUGAUUACUGUGCAGUAUCGAGAGGAAAAGUGUCGAGCGAUCUCACAGGUGUUUAGUUGGGUUAGAGUCCAGCUAGUACUCAACAUGUGGGCAUUUUUGUGUUUAUGCGCUGUGUGGCAUUCAGAAUCGCUGCUAACGAUCACAACAGGGUGGACAUGGGCGCCUGUGUUACGACAGACCUAUCAGUGUCACUCUGGCCCGUAGACCACUGAGCCUGAGUGCUGGAGGGAGAGGGAGAGAGAAACAAACAAGUCUGUCUCUGUUCUGUGUGCGUACGAUAUGGACUCAUUUACUGUAAUAAAGUGAUGAAACUGUG